GACGAACGCUGGCGGCGUGCUUAACACAUGCAAGUCGAACGGACAGGCCCUGAUUUUGCGGGGUGCACGAGUGGCGAACGGGUGAGUAACACGUGAGUAAACUGCCCUUGAAUUUGGGAUAACUUCAGGAAACUGGGGCUCAUAUAGGAUAGGAGCUCCUGCUGCAUGGUGGGGGUUGGAAAGAUUCGGCGGUUGGGGAUGGACUAGCGGCUUAUCAGCUUGUUGGUGGGGUAGUGGCUUACCAAGGCUUUGACGGGUAGCCGGCCUGAGAGGGUGACCGGCGUCAUUGGGACUGAGGUACGGCGCAGACGCCUACGGGAGGCAGCAGUGGGGAACAUUGCACAAUGGGCGGAAGCCUGAUGCAGCAACGCCGCGUGCGGGAUGACGGCCUUCGGGUUGUAAACCGCUUUCGCCUGUGACGAAGCGUGAGUGACGGUAAUUGGUAAAGAAGCACCGGCUAACUACGUG
rnacentral:rRNA from 1 species